rnacentral:rRNA from 1 species
AUUGAACGCUGGCGGCAGGCCUAACACAUGCAAGUCGAGCGGAUUAAGGGAGCUUGCUCCUGGAUUCAGCGGCGGACGGGUGAGUAAUGCCUAGGAAUCUGCCUGGUAGUGGGGGAUAACGUCCGGAAACGGGCGCUAAUACCGCAUACGUCCUGAGGGAGAAAGUGUGGGAUCUUCGUACCUCACGCUAUCAGAUGAGCCUAGGUCGGAUUAGCUAGUUGGUGGGGUAAAGGCCUACCAAGGCGACGAUCCGUAACUGGUCUGAGAGGAUGAUCAGUCAAACGGGAAAGGAGACACGGCCAAGACGCCUACGGGAGGCAGAAGUGGGGAAUAUUGGAAAAGGGGCGAAAGCCUGAUCAAGCCAGGCCGCGUGUGUGAAGAAGGUCUUCGGAUUGAAAAGAACUUUAAGUUGGGAGGAAGGGAAGUAAGUUAAUACCUUGCUGUUUUGACGUUACAAACAGAAUAAGCACCGGCUAACCUCGUG